AGCGUACUUCCUCCAUCCAAGAUGUCUCGAGUUUGUCAAAAUUUAGAUGUAUCUAGACAUGACUUAGUGUAUAUAUGCAUUCAAAUUUAGUCAAAGUUGAGACAUUCUUUGUUGGACGGAAGAAGUAUAAC
rnacentral:pre_miRNA from 1 species